rnacentral:rRNA from 1 species
GACAGAGGAUGCAAGCGUUAUCCGGAAUGAUUGGGCGUAAAGCGUCUGUAGGUGGCUUUUCAAGUCCGCCGUCAAAUCCCAGGGCUCAACCCUGGACAGGCGGUGGAAACUACCAAGCUGGAGUACGGUAGGGGCAGAGGGAAUUUCCGGUGGAGCGGUGAAAUGCGUUGAUAUCGGAAGGAACGCCGGUGGCGAAAGCGCACGACUGGACCUCUUCUGACGCUGAGGCGCGAAAGCCAGGGGAGCAAACGGG